rnacentral:rRNA from 1 species
AGGCGGUGGAGCAUGUGGUUUAAUUCGAAGCAACGCGAAGAACCUUUACCAGGUCUUGACAUCCCGAUGCUAUUUCUAGAGAUAGAAAGUUACUUCGGUACAUCGGUGACAGGUGGUGCAUGGUUGUCGUCAGCUCGUGUCGUGAGAUGUUGGGUUAAGUCCCGCAACGAGCGCAACCCCUAUUGUUAGUUGCCAUCAUUCAGUUGGGCACUCUAGCGAGACUGCCGGUAAUAAACCGGAGGAAGGUGGGGAUGACGUCAAAUCAUCAUGCCCCUUAUGACCUGGGCUACACACGUGCUACAAUGGUUGGUACAACGAGUUGCGAGUCGGUGACGGCGAGCUAAUCUCUUAAAGCCAAUCUCAGUUCGGAUUGUAGGCUGCAACUCGCCUACAUGAAGUCGGAAUCGCUAGUAAUCGCGGAUCAGCACGCCGCGGUCGAAUACGUUCCCGGGCCUU